CCAGAGGCUGGGCUCAACCAGGGUAAGUGGAUAAAGGCAACACAGCCUGCCCUGAGUAAAAGACACCUGCAGAGAACAGCACAAUGAAGAUUAGGCCAAGCAGGACAGAGCCAACUGUCAACAAGCUGUAAGUAAAUAAAGUCUGCUUUGUUAAAAUGAAAAUAAACCAGAGAUGGAUUUGAUGAAGUAUGAUGACUCUGGAAGUCAGCCCAGCUUCCCUUAUUAAGGGAAAGGAUGAAGUGACAGCAAAGCACACAUGCUCUCAGCAAUUUCCAGAGAUGCUAAUGAAGAGAGAACCAAGCCUUGUGAAACUUGGCACAGCAGGACAGAGAGGCUCAACUUUGUCACAAGGAGAAGAGAGGUGCAUACAUCAUGGGAUUCAUAGAAUCACGAGCACAUUCACCUUGGAAAUACAUUCUGCCAAAACUGUGAUUUCACCCAGCAUAGCUACAGGACAGAAACGUUCUCAGGCUGGAACACCUCUCCCUUUCCACAGUCUAAAACUUUGAUCCACCUUCUGUGUAGCAUUUGUCUUCAAGUGCCCCUGAAAGCUGAGGUUGGCUACCGGGAAGGCGGGAAAACUCGGAUCAGUCCAAAAGGCCAUAAAGCACCUUUGACCAAAACAAUGGAGUAAUUCUUUCUGGAUUUACAAGGGUAACAUUAAAAGCUUGUAAUUGCCUUCCUACUGUCAACAUAAAAUGGGUUACAGGAAGGAAAGGAAACAGAAUUUUUGCAUACUUGAAGACUUCAAACAGAAAAGACUGCCACAUGAUCAAAAAGAGUUUUGGAAUAAUAAUAAAGAUGGGUGGGAGACAGAACAGACAGCUUCCUACAGAAACAUACUAUUUUCUGACUAUGCACACACCUCUAAAUAGUGAAAGAAAGAUGUCUGUUUCUGACUGCAGGCAGAGUGUUGCACAUUGACAAAGAAGCAGCCACGCUGACCUACAGCUGUACACUCUCUGAUUCCUCCUUUCCCAGGGACCCAUGGAAUACUUCAGAACAGUGACUUCAAGUUUUCUUGGGAAUCAUUAAAUUAAGAUGCCAGCGCUUUCUCCACCACUAAAUGUUCCUACUGCUCCUUUUGAUCUUUUUGUUUAUACAGAUGCCUUAUCUUUACAGGGCAUCUCAAACGCCCUACUGUGAUUUUCCUCCAAAUCCUAACAAUUAUUUACAGGCUCUUCCUUACAUCCUCACAUUUGAUGUGAUGCUGAAAGAUUCACACUAAGGAGCAUGUAUCCCUCCUAACUGUACAGAGCUGCAGGCUCUGACAGCAGAAUCAUCACUGUUCUAGAGUUUUUUCUAAAUUUAUUCCAUUUCUCCACACUUCUUCAUAUCUCCUGAUAAGCCAAUGCCCCUGGUGUUGCUAUUUCUAGUGUAGACCAUGUUUUUCAGGGAAAAGAAUACAUCUCACAGACAAGAAACAUGGCACCUCUCAUGCACUUCAAGAUCUCUCCACACACACAGGGCACAAUAGUCCACAUGUGCACCCUGUGUCUUCCACUGACCCAUUGUUUUCCCUGGAGUUCUGGCAGGCAGGAGAAACUCCAGUAUCAGAAGGGCCUUCACAUCCUCAUCAACAACCCAGAGGGCUGCAGAACUGAUCUCACAGGAAGAAUAUAAAAGACUCUGAAAAUUACACGGGGAACUGCAUCUACUAUACACAUCUGCAGAGCUCAGAAAUUAUUGUUUCUUGGAUCAGUUUCUAAAGCAAAUAUAAGGGGACAUACAAGCUAAAUCUUGCCAUAUGAAUCUUCCAGCACACUUGCAGUAACAGUGGAAAUGAAAUGAGGGGGAAGAAAAGUGAAAAUGUUGUUUAGAUUUUUCUCUUUAAAUCAUGUGUCAUCAAUUAUGGCCUGCAUACUUACUUACUUUGUUGAGAACAGUCAUACAAACAGAAAGAAAAAUUGGACUCAUGCUACAUUCUUGUACAAACUGAUUGUUUUGCCCACAAUAAAAGAUAAUAUACAA